rnacentral:rRNA from 1 species
AGGGACCCACCAGGAGUGGAGCCUGCGGCUUAAUUUGACUCAACACGGGGAAACUCACCCGGCCCGGACACCGAAAGGAUUGACAGAUUGAUAGCUUUUUCUUGAUUCGGUGGAUGGUGGUGCAUGGCCGUUCUUUUUCGUGGACCGAUUUGUCUGGUUUAUUCCGAUAACGAGACAGACUCUAGCCUACUAAAUAACUCGGAUCUUGUUUCUGUGCCUACGUCUUUGUAGGGGGACCAACGGAGGACACCCUCCGAAAACUAACAAAAACGAAGUCUGAAAACCCCUUACAAGCGCGGGGCCCAAUGCCGACUAGGGUGGACUUCUCUCGAUCGUUGUCCCUUCUGCACCGGUCCGAGACAAAACCUGAACAUAAGUUUGUCCUUGGCGAGCAGCGCCCGUCAACUUUCCUGCUUUGAAGAGUUCUUACUAUGCUUGCGACUACAGUGAACUUGCCCGAUCUCCCUGCGCCAAGUCCCCACAUCCCGUCCAGGGAUACCUCGGUCGACGGCUCCACGA